AUGUAAGGGGGGCCAACUUGCUAUGCAUUAUGGUGUCCGCCCCGCCCUGGGGAAAACAGUGGCUCGAGGGGGUGAUUGCUCAGCAUUAGCGUGCGUGCGAGCGGGGGUGUGGGGGCGGGGGCGCUGACUCACCUCGCCUUGGAGUAUAAACUUCAGGCCGAGAAUAAGGACGAAGUGGGUUGAUAAUGAUCAUGGAAGCGGGUUAUUUGUUGCGGGAAGUGAGAAUGGCCUCUGUGUGUUGGUACUUGUGUGUUGAGUAAUGUUGUUGAUUUUCACGACCGCUGGCAGAAGUGAAGGGGAGGAUGGCAAACGCGAUGGGACACACUCGUUACGAUGGUGACGACAACAACAAUGCGCCGUGCCAAUGUCUUGUUUCUGUGUGUGCGUGUGAGUGACUGUGGGGGGACAAAAUGAGGAAAAACCUGAUCGUCACUGGUGCUCGGGAGAGAACGUUCAUUGAAGGAUUGCUUGAGAAUGAUGACCAUUCGCUGCUGGCUCCAGGCGCGGUCUAGCAUCUUGUCCACAGUGGCUCCCCGCAGCCACCUCCUCUCCGACAUCUGUUCUCCGUGGCCUCCACAUGCACCCUGUGCUCACCUCUUGCGGCCCACCGACAACACAGACUCCUACCCUGCCAGACCGGUCCUCAUUGGAACCCUGCCAAUCACGGAUUUAGUUCUCGGAGUUCCUUUGUUCGCUUCCAAGCUGCAAUAAACUGUUAUUCACAAACUCACCUCCCUGUCCUCUCUGCAUCUGGGUCCAACUUGCAACCUGAAUCCUGACAGCAUAGUCUGGCCCGUCAUGGACCCAGGGGACACGGAUCCCUUUCGCCAAACAGUUACCGGACAGAGCAUGCUUUUUGGAGCAACACG